GGCCGCGGGGCGGGGAUGGGGACGGGCGGUUGAGAGACUGGCUUCGACGUAAAACCAGCGUUCACCCUGCAGAUCCCAGUUCCUGGAAGUUUAUCGCUUGUCAGUAGAGUAGUAAAAACGAAGAAGGAUUUCCCAGGAGUCCAACAGUAUGUAAGGUUUCACGACCACGUCAGAAGUCACAGGAUCAACAGCUGGAGGAGGGCAUUUUAAAAACUCCUCCAAGGGGAAUCACAUCUAUUGAAGUGCAAAAUGGAGAUUUGAGACAGGAAAGUAACAAGUGAAUGAGACGGGAGGAGACAGCUAUUGAUCAGUAGCAUUGACUCCCUUGUCAUGCUUUGCUUGGAAUUCUGAUAAUCUUCUUUGCCUCUGAUAAGUGGCCACUGGCUCUACCAAGUAGUAACGGAAGAUGUAUCGGAUGCACAAAUGUAUUUGUUACCUUAAUAGGAUGUAAGCCCCUUGACCGUAAAACUGGUGUCCGCCCAGAACAGGUACCUCGUGCAGAGUGGGGCUCAUCCUGUGUCUGUUAAUAAUACUAAUAACUGUCAUCUAUUGGGUUGCCCUUUCUCGUGUGUACCUGGCCCUUUUCUAAGUCCCUUGCAUAUAUCAACUCAUGUAAUCCUCAUAGGGACCACAAAAAGAUUCCCUUUCUCUUUAAAAUGAAAAAAGCAAGACACGGAGAGGUUAUUCAACUUUCCCAGAGACACACAGCUUGUCGUUAGCAGAUCCAAGGUUUAAACCCAGGCAGCGGGCCCCCACUGCCCCCAGCUCAGUCUUCUCCGACUCAGUGUUGCUCACACCAGAGCAUCAACAUCGGGAACCCUUGUGUGCUUCCUCUCCUUCCUCACCCACCCCUCCACUCCACCUCCCUUCCCCCAGCAUGCAACACACAGCGGGC